GGGCCGCGAGUGGGAGCGGGAGCGGUUCUGCGGCCUCCUCGGGCUUCUUGGCCCUGGGCGGAGUGGGAUUGGGUGUCCCGGCUGUUCGCAGUGGCCGCGAGUGCGGCCGGACCUGGAGUAGUACCUGAGCCGCUCUGGCCGAGCAAGGCGCGGGGCCCCGGUCUACACCGCGCUGGACCCGGCUAUGCCGUGACGGAAUUCCCGAGGCCGUAGCGCCACGCGAGACGCGCACUGGUGGCCUCCGCGGCGAGUCCUGGGGUCUCCGCAAGGCCUCAGUGCCCGAGCUGGGGACGUGCUGGGGGGAGGCCCGGCCCCGUCGCUGCCCGAGGCCCCGCUGUCCCGGCCGGACCGGCCUGGUCCCUGGCGUCCUGUCGGGUCCGCGCUGGAGGAGAGUCCCAGACAGCAGAGCCCGCGCUCGCCUCCCUUCCGCCAAGAUUCACAGAACACGGCAGAGUGGCCUCGGGAUCACCUGCCCAAGACACCUGCACGACCGGAAGUUGGGAGAAGAAAUUAAGGCCAUGAUGAUGAACGCAGCCUUUCUCGUUUAUUUCCAAUCCCACAACAAACCGGAGUCCAGGAACUCAUGGGAGGCCGAGGUGGGCGGAUUGCCUGAGUUCAGGAGUUCGAGACCAGCCUGGGCGACACGGUGAAACCCCGUCCCUACUAAAAUACAAAAAAUUAGCCGGGCGUGGCGGCACGCGCCUGUAGUCCCAGCUACUCAGGAGGCUGAGGCAGGAGAAUGGCUUGAACUCGGGUGGGGGAGGUUGCAAUGAGCCGAGAUCGCGCCGCUGCACUCCAGCCUGGGCGACAGAGCGAGACUCUGUCUCUGAAAAAAAACAAAACAAAACGAGAAGGCUUUCAAAAUUACUCUGCGGUACACUAAUUUAACAGAUUAGAUCACUUUCCAGGCUUUAAGUUGGCCUUUGUUCUACCCUUUUUUUAGUGUAUGAUAAAAGUUGUGUUGGUUCGUUGAUCAGCAUGCAAUGAACUCUGGCUCUUGUUAAUCAGGUGACUACAGUUUUGUCCUUACAUUUGUAUGUAUGUCAUGAGUGGUUUUGUAUGGGCAGGAGGUAAACAACGCACAUUUAAAUAUACUUAAUGAUUUAUCAUUCCAAUGUUUUCUGGUUGUUUUAGUCUUUCAUUUGUCUCUUGAACAAUCUGAAACAUCCCUAUUCUAAGGCUAAAAAAUUUCCUUUACAAACUUAGGUUAAACAUUCCUAAUCUGAAAUCCAAAAUGCUCUAAAAUUCGAAUUUUUUUGAGUACUGACGUGACCCCACAAAUGGAAAAUUCCACACUUGCCCUCAUGUGACACUGGGUGACAGUCAAGUCACAAUCAAGCCUGGUGUGGUGGGCACCUGUAGUGCCAGCUACUCGGGAGGUUGAGCAGGAGGAUUGCUUGAGCCCAGGAGUUUGAGUCCAGCCUGGACGAUAUAGCCAGACCCUGUCUGUAAAAAAACAAAAACCAAAACAAAAAAAACAAUGAAAACAUUUUUUUUUAAAACGCCAUCAAAACUUUGUUUCAUGCACAAAAUUAUUUAAAAUAUAUAAUAUAACCUUACCUUCAGGCUAUGUGGGUAAGGUAAGGUGUAUGUGAAACAAAUGAAUUUCCCAUUUAGACUUGGGUCCCAUCCCCAAGAUAUCUUAUUAUGUAUAUGCAAAUAUUCCAAAUCAAAAAUAUCUGAAAUACUUUUGUCCCAAGCAUUUCAGAUAAAGGUUACUCAACCUGUAAUAAAAACACUCAGUGCUUGCCUGAAGGAAAAACCAAGAAUUUGUCAUCCAUCCUUAAAUUUUUAUGACACCCUUUGUAAUCAGGAAACCUUUUAAUACCUAAGAAUAUAUUUGAUAUAUUCUGGUAUAUGUUUAUCAUUCUGAUGUUUAAUGUUCUAUGUUGGGCAUAUAUCAGUGUAAUAAAUACAUUAGAUCCAAAUACAGAUCAUGCUGCCUUUUU
rnacentral:lncRNA from 1 species